GAUGAACGCUGGCGGCGUGCCUAAUACAUGCAAGUCGAGCGAACAGACGAGGAGCUUGCUCCUCUGACGUUAGCGGCGGACGGGUGAGUAACACGUGGAUAACCUACCUAUAAGACUGGGAUAACUUCGGGAAACCGGAGCUAAUACCGGAUAAUAUAUUGAACCGCAUGGUUCAAUAGUGAAAGACGGUUUUGCUGUCACUUAUAGAUGGAUCCGCGCCGCAUUAGCUAGUUGGUAAGGUAACGGCUUACCAAGGCAACGAUGCGUAGCCGACCUGAGAGGGUGAUUGGCCACACUGGAACUGAGACACGGUCCAGACUCCUACGGGAGGCAGCAGUAGAGAAUCUUCCGCAAUGGGCGAAAGCUUGACGGAGCAACGCCGCGUGAGUGAUGAAGGUCUUCGGAUCGUAAAACUCUGUUAUUAGGGAAGAACAAAUGUGUAAGUAACUAUGCACGUCUUGACGGUACCUAAUCAGAAAGCCACGGCUAACUACGUG
rnacentral:rRNA from 1 species